rnacentral:rRNA from 1 species
UACUAAGAACUUUCCAGAGAUGGAUUGGUGCCUUCGGGAACUUAGAUACAGGUGCUGCAUGGCUGUCGUCAGCUCGUGUCGUGAGAUGUUGGGUUAAGUCCCGCAACGAGCGCAACCCUUUUCCUUAUUUGCCAGCGGGUCAUGCCGGGAACUUUAAGGAUACUGCCAGUGACAAACUGGAGGAAGGCGGGGACGACGUCAAGUCAUCAUGGCCCUUACGGCCAGGGCUACACACGUGCUACAAUGGUCGGUACAAAGGGUUGCUACCUCGCGAGAGGAUGCUAAUCUCAAAAAGCCGAUCGUAGUCCGGAUCGCAGUCUGCAACUCGACUGCGUGAAGUCGGAAUCGCUAGUAAUCGCGGAUCAGAAUGCCGCGGUGAAUACGUUCCCGGGCCUUGUACACACCGCCCGUCACACCAUGGGAGUUUGUUGCACCAGAAGUAGGUAGUCUAACCGCAAGGAGGACGCUUACCACGGUGCGGCCGAUGACUGGGGUGAAGUCGUAACAAGGUAAGCGUAGAUGA